GACCCGAAAGAUGGUGAACUAUGCCUGAAUAGGGGUGAAAGCCAGAGGAAACUCUGGUGGAGGCUCGCAGCGGUUCUGACGUGCAAAUCGAUCGUCAAAUUUGGGUAUAGGGGCGAAAGACUAAUCGAACCAUCUGGUAGCUGG
rnacentral:ncRNA from 1 species